rnacentral:rRNA from 1 species
GAUGAAUGCUGGCGGCGUGCCUAACACAUGCAAGUCGAACGGAGUCCAGCCUUUAAGACCUUCGGGUCAAAGAGGGGAAGACUGAGUGGCGGACGGGUGAGUAACACGUGGGCAACCUGGCUCAUAGAGGGGGAUAACAGAGAGAAAUUUCUGCUAAUACCGCAUAAGCACACACUGCCGCAUGGCAGAGGGUGAAAAGAGAAUCGCUAUGAGAUGGACCCGCGUCUGAUUAGCCAGUUGGCAGGGUAAGAGCCUACCAAAGCGACGAUCAGUAGCCGAUCUGAGAGGAUGAACGGCCACAUUGGGACUGAGACACGGCCCAAACUCCUACGGGAGGCAGCAGUGGGGGAUAUUGCACAAUGGGGGGAACCCUGAUGCAGCGACGCCGCGUGAGUGAAGAAGUAUUUCGGUAUGUAAAGCUCUAUCAGCAGGGAAGAUAAUGACAGUACCUGAAGAAGAAGCCCCGGCUAACUACGUG